ACUGGUCACCACAAAAUUCAAAGAGACAAGGUCUUUGUCUGUUGCUCAGGAUGGAGUGUAGUGGUGCCAUAGCUCACUGUAAUCUUGAAUUUCUGGGCUACUGGCAUACACUACCAUGCUUGGGUUCGGGCCACAACAUCCGUGAGUUUAGCGGUUUUGGUCUCUUCCUUGUGACCUUCGGCUCUAGGAUGCUGCACAGCUCCUCUCUGCACUAUCUAUCAGAAUGUUGCUCUGCGUGCUUGAAAGUUUCCCCAAACAGAGGUACAUAAAAACAAACAGAGGUGAAACACAAAUCCCCUCAGCCCUGGAGGAAAAGGCCUUGAAGCUCUUCCAGUGCAGAGGCCACGCAGAGGACGUACUCCUACCUGUGCACAUCAGCCAUGCCUGGGGAGCCUCCUGGGGUCCAGGCUGCUGGUGAUGGAAUCCAUCAUGUUGCUGAUGUCACUACUCUCAACUCAUGAUGGCAUCAGAACACAGGCAGCAUCAAGAUCAGGCUCAAGAUGCAGGAUCUUGUCAUCCAAAUCAGGUCCACAUAUGGAUGAGACCCUUCAGGUAUUCUGCACAUCUCUCAGGAAACCCAGAUGAAAUUGAGUGCCUGCCACCCACAUCAGCAACCCAGACAUCCCACUUGAUUCUGCUUCUGGAGCCUAAGAUGGGAAAAUGGCAGGUGUCGCAGGUUGCAGGGGAAGGUUGGAGACCAGUUGAGGGCCUCGGAGCCUCUCUGGAUAGAGUUUUCCAUCCAGCCCGUCUCGGUUUCCGCAUCCGUGUGAAUCCUUUAUGACGUCGGGGAUGCCAAAGUCUGAGUCCCUUAUGAUGUUCAGGGUGCCCCGGUCUCACCCCGGGAGCCUCCUCGCUCCGGCCUGCUCCUGGCUACCCGGUGGGCGGCUCUGGCCCCGGCGACCCGCGACUGUUUCUCCAUGCGCUGCCACUUCGCAAAGGCACAUCUCUAGGUCAGUGGUCAGCUGCAGCCAGAACGCUGCAACUCGCUCCAGGACUCGGGACUCGUGGCCUUGGUGGGCCUCGCAGAGUGCUGGGUGCGUCGCCUGAGGGCUCCUCUUUUGGAGAAAGGAGGGAGGGAAAGGCCUUGUGGGAUGACUCCAGGAGCGACCAGCGACCCCCACAAGGCCCAAGUACUCCCAGCGCACACAGAAACAGUUACUUAAAUGGCAAUAAGGUUGAGAAAGACCCUCCCGUGCCCCCGUGCUGAUGUAGUGGCUGUGAUUCAGCCCUUUCACCACCGCAUCCCGGGUUCGAUUACCGGUCAGGGAAUUGUUUUGCACUGACUGCCCACCCGCAGUAACCUUUCUUUACUCCGCUGUCAGCCGGCCUGCUCCAAGAGCCAGAGGCAGAACAGUCUCCCUGCAAGGUGCAAACCCUGGGGAAGGAGGGCAAGUCCUGGUGGACGGCCUCUCAUGACACACCCUCUUAUUUAUCUCCGUGUCCAUCAUUCGCAGAAGGGGCCUUAGAGAGCGACUGAGCGUCUCGCUCAGGUGUACACCACCGUGCAGAGAUGCCAGCUCUCCUGGAGGUGCACCCAAGAAGCCUACCGUCUUUGCCGCCUCCGCCAUCCCAGAGGCGCCGAUUGGGCUGAGCUGCAAAUAACUAAGAGAGAGGCCAAGCCAAGUUGUGGCGUUUGUGCGUGGCACCCGUUGUCAGCGGACACAGGCGGUCAGCUGAGCCUCCUCACCUCAGUUCGCAGCUAACGUGCUUCUUAGGCCUUCGGAAGAGGCGACAGGAGGCGAUGGCCGUGAGGUUGGGAGGGGGGUGAGCGGCGGGUGAGGUCCUCCAGGACCGCCCAUUUGUUGACUGGGUGGUACAGGGGGGCGAUGUUCGCUUACCCAACAACGACAGCAGGUGGAGCAGGGACUAAUGGAAAACUGUGGCCGGUGCCCUAAGCAGAAGGCAGGUGUAAAAAUCAUUAGGACAUCAAAGGGAUGGUACCACAAUCAAAUCCCGCAAUGUCUGUCUACACUCUACCAAGCAAUUGUGCACGCUCCCCCUUUUCCAUUCAGUACUCCCAAGAAGGGUUGAGACGAACCCUGUGUCCACUGUAAAGCUCAGGGGAGAGCCGGAGCAAGGGAGGUGAAGUGCACAGACUGGGCAGAGGCGGCGGGCAGAACUGCGGGGGUGAGAGGGCGCGGUGGCUGCAGGGCGGGAGCCCCUGCUGAAAGGAGGCCUGGGUUGUCCUGUGGGUGACUGUUGGUGGAAUCUCUGGCAGCGAGUGGUUGGAAGAAUGGCGACGGGCGAGCAGAGGGGAAGGUGGUGACCCUGAGCGUCUGGCUAGGGGAGAGGAGGCUGUACUGACCCUCGUCUCUUCUUACCUGGCGGGGGACAGACCGUGGUCAAGAAGGGAGUUCUCCCUGGAUGAGACUAGUCCAUCGCACUCCGGCUGCUCUGACCCCUGCGAUUUCCCCACACGCGGGGCCCUUGUCUGCGGUGGUGUUUGCGCUACCCGGGGGCUGGGUUCGCGCAGGCUCCUGACAGGCCUUGGCUCACCGCCGCCGACGCGGGUAUGGCAGCCAGAGACCCUUCCGCCGCCCUCCUAGGGAUCUUGAGGGCCUUCCUUGUUGUUCCUACUGAAGCUCACGAACAGACAGAUGUGAGCUCUCUGUCUUUUACACGUUGAAUUUGGCUAUUGGCAAAAAGCCUGACCAAGAGCUUGGGUCUCCUCCCGGCGUGCACACGACCUCCCGACUCUUGCCUCCUAGCGCGGCUCUUGGCUAGCGGGCAGGCAGCCUCCACCCAGCGUAGAACCGCGGCAGCCGCAGCCCCCACAGGCUGGCGGUCAGACACUAGCAGGAAAAGGGACACAAGACCUGCGUGGUGGGAAAGCAUGGGAGACGUCGCUUUCCCACCAGGCGAGAAGGUCUCCCUACAGUCUUUGGACACAAGAUGGAGGGAGGCACCCCUUCCAGGAGCAAGGCGGCUGCUCCUGAGGCCUGGCUCCGCACGGAGACUCCUGGGUCCCGCGCGCCCUCUCCCUACCCGCUAUAGCCAGAGCUUCUUCACACAUCUCAGCCGGCUUCCUCCCGCCUCUGCCUCCUCUUCCUCCCCAGCUCGUGGGAAAGACCUAGCCUCCUCUCUAACACUUGGAGAGGGAGUUGGAUGUAAGUCUCCUAACUCCAGUAGGACACAGACCCUGAGGUGGGAGGGGACCCCUUGCCUUGCUGCUUCUCUUGGCACCGCGGGUCCAGCGGAAUGGACCCGGGCCCAGGACUCCUCGCUCCUCCUGGAAGGCCUGGGUCCCAUAGCCCACAGAGCUGGCCACGUGGGCAUCUCCCCCACUGCUCCUCAUAGAACCGGAGGCAUUAUCCUGCAGGGCCCACUCUUACCCAUGAAAGAAACUUGGGAAAUGCUCCCGGGGAAGCCGGGGAUCUGGGCGCUUGACCACUUCGGCGUGAAUCUUCCGUCCGCUCAUCCUUCCUUCGGAGGGUCUUGGGGAGAGGAGAAAUGCUCGAGGACGAUGCGCUUUGCAGCGUCUCAAGGGAAACUAGAUCUCAACGGAUACCAGAGGUCUGGAGCGUCUUCCUGGAGAAAGGUGGCCCGAGGCCUGCUGUUGCAGGGAGGCUUGCGGAGCACAGCGCCCUCUCUCAGCCUGAGCUAUCCAACGGCUUCCAGCAUCCCAGCUGGCUGACUCCUCUUCCUCUCUCUUCCUCCUACUGCGGGUCUUCUUCUUCUCUUUGGGGACCGAAUCUCGCUCUGUCGCCCAGGCUGGAGUGCAGUGGCGCACUGCAACCUCCGCCUCCCGGGUUGAAGCGAUUCUUCUGCCUCAGCCUCCCGAGUAGCUGGGACUACAGGCGCGUGCCACCACGCCCGGCUAAUUUUUUGUAUUUUUAGUUGAGAGGAGGUUUCGCCCUGUUAGCCAGGAUGGUCUCGAUCUCCUGGCCUCGUGAUCCGCCCGCCUCAGCCUCCCAAAGUGCUGGGAUUACAGGCGUGAGCCUCCGCGCCCGGCCUACUGCGGCUCUUCUAUCAUGGUGUUCCUUGAAUGCCUAUCUUCCUUUUGUGCCACAGAACCUCUCACGCCCGCCACAGGUUGCUCAUUUCCUUGGUUGUUCUGAACUUUAAAUAAGUUAAUGUAUGUAAGAGUGCCAUAAAUGCUCAGUAAUUGUCAUCUGUUAUUAUUUUCGGCAGUAACAUCAUCUGAAUCAUCUGUAUUGUCUAUUUUUAACGACUGCAUUUUUCAUUGUCCAAAUAUAGUCACAUACAUUUGAACAUUAUAUAAUGAUUGAAUAACAAAUUUAUUCUGCUAUUUUACAAUAAAAA
rnacentral:lncRNA from 1 species